rnacentral:lncRNA from 1 species
GCGGUGGCUUGGGUCUCCACGUUAGGCUGCUGCGAGGAACUGCAACUGAAAUCAGGGAAAUCAGUUUGCUCCAAGCUGGGUCCAGACGAAGAGAGAGAAAAAAAAAAAAAGAGAGCGUGAAGAAGAAAUGCCACUUAGGAGAUGUGAAUGGGUCACAGGGCUACAUGUGCUGGAAGCUACACAGAAGUCUCAUGCAAGUGGUGCCUGUUGUUUUCCUGACCGGAGCCUGCUUUCUGAUGCUAAAGCAGAGUGCAGUUCCUGUGUAGAAACUGAGGACAAAAAAAAAUUUACCCGCUCCUCACUGUUGAGGAAGGAUUGUCCUGCUCCUUGCUGCGCUGCUGGCGCUACAAGGGAGGAAGAGGCAGGAGCUGAUGCUGAACAGAGAUGUUCACCCUGGAACGGGAAACGGCUUGGCUUCUUACCCUCACAAACCUGCCUCGCUGCGUGCGAAGAACCCGCUUCCGUCAGGGCGGAAGAUAAGUUUCUGAAGAACAAACUGUGCUCUGUGUUACUGGACCAAAGAAAAAGGAUUAGAGAAUGAACAACCCUAGG